CUCACUCCAAAACCCUCACCGCCCCCAUGCCUCCUCGAAACCCACUGUUCGAGCGGCCCUCAACGGUAACCCGUCGUCGUAGAGGAGUAUUACCGCCCUCAAGAAGUCUGUCGGCUUCGAUCGUCCGCAAGAAAUUGUCGUUGCGUGAUCAGUUCGACGAGCUGUCGCCUGUGUCCAACCGUGACGCUUGAAAAAUAGAAGCGAAAGUCAAUCGGACGAGUUCGUGCGCUUUAGAGGGCUCUCGAAGGACUCAUAUUCAUCAGCAAAAUGACGGAAAAGGCCUUCCUAGAUUGAGGGCAAUCGGCCGAGUUCGUCGAUCAGAAAAUUCCAAGAGAGAGAGAGAGAGAGAGAGAGAGAGAGGGGCGUGAAUGGAGGAUCCCUAUUGGAGAUACGGUGCUUCUGCAGACAGAGCAUACCACUAUCGAGCGAGGCAGCGAUAGUGGUGCCAUCAAGGUACCGGCAGCCGUCGCCGAGCACGAGGAGGCUGUCGACUUCGCCAGGGAGGAGGUUGUUGGGUGGGAAUAGGGUUUUGCCGGCGAGGUUGGAUUCGGCUAGUAAGAAGAAGAUGGCGAGCAUAGCUGCUGUGAGUUGAAGAGUUGGGAUGAGUUACCGGUGGAGUUGGUCGCGUCCUCUCUUGAGGUGAAAGAGAAGGAUUCUUCCAAGAACAAGCCGAAUUUGCAAGCUAUUUUGUGAACUCAGGCUAUUUAUUAUCUUGAAAAGGUGGACUCUGUUUUUGUGGCAGCUCACACAUCUGCUGGGAAGACAGGUGUUGCAAAGUAUGCAUUUGCUUUGGCAUCAAAACACUGUACGAGAGCUGUGUAUACUGCUCCGAUCAAAACCAUUAGCAACCAAAAAUACAGGGAUUUUUGUGGGAAAGUUGACGUGGCCUUCUCACUGGGGAUGUAAGCUUGAGGCUAGAGGCUUCUUGUCUCAUCAUGACCACUGAGAUACUGCAGCCAAUGCUUUAUAGGGGUGCUGACUUCAUACGCGACAUUGAAUGGGUUAUAUUUGAUGAAGUGCAUUAUGUUAAUGAUGUGGAAAGGGGUGUUGUUUGGGAAGAAGUUACUAUCAUGCUUCCAAGGCAUAUCCACGGUAAGUGCUUAUUGAUGUGUCUUUUAUACUACAUAUAAAAGCACGGAGGAAGCAGCUGGUGGUCGCUUUUGUCCUAUCUCCCCACAACCCACUUCACACAUGAAAUUCCCAAAUUGGCCACUAGAAACGUGG